rnacentral:rRNA from 1 species
CCCUUAGAUGUUCUGGGCCGCACGCGCGCUACACUGACGAUGGCAACGAGUUUUUCCUUCGCCGAAAGGUGUGGGUAAUCUUUUGAAACAUCGUCGUGCUGGGGAUAGAUCAUUGCAAUUUUUGAUCUUGAACGAGGAAUUCCUAGUAAGCGCGAGUCAUCAUCCCGCGCUGAAUACGUCCCUGCCCUUUGUGCACACCGCCCGUCGCUCCUACCGAUUGAGUGGUCCGGUGAGGCUUUGGGAUCUGAGCGGAAAGAGCGUUUCGCUGUUUCUGCUCGGAAAACUCAGUCGAACCUUAUCAUUUAGAGGAAGGAGAAGUCGUAACA